rnacentral:rRNA from 1 species
GAUGAACGCUGGCGGCGUGCCUAAUACAUGCAAGCCGAGCGAACAGACGAGGAGCUUGCUCCUCUGACGUUAGCGGCGGACGGGUGAGUAACACGUGGAUAACCUACCUAUAAGACUGGGAUAACUUCGGGAAACCGGAGCUAAUACCGGAUAAUAUAUUGAACCGCAUGGUUCAAUAGUGAAAGACGGUUUUGCUGUCACUUAUAGAUGGAUCCGCGCCGCAUGAGCUAGUUGGUAAGGUAACGGCUUACCAAGGCAACGAUGCGUAGCCGACCUGAGAGGGUGAUCGGCCACACUGGAACUGAGACACGGUCCAGACUACUACGGGAGGCAGCAGUAGGGAAUCUGCCGCAAUGGGCGAAAGCCUGACGGAGCAACGCCGCGUGAGUGAUGAAGGUCUUCGGAUCGUAAAACUCUGUUAUUAGGGAAGAACAAAUGUGUAAGUAACUAUGCACGUCUUGACGGUACCGAAUCAGAAAGCAACGGCUAACUACGUG